GCCUUCGUGGUCUAGUUGGUUAUGACGUCGGUCUCAUAUCCCUUCCAUAUUUAAAAUAUGACGAUCUUGGUAACAAGAUUGCUAUCCGAAGGUCUCCAGUUCGAACCUGGACGAGGGCA
rfam:Penicillium vulpinum strain IBT 29486 PENVTL_contig010, whole genome shotgun sequence.